rnacentral:tRNA from 1 species
GCCCGCUUAGCUCAGCAGCAGGUCGCGUCCUUGGUAAGAACGAGGUCGCCGGAUCAAUCCCGGCAUCGGGUU